GAUUUGAAAUCUUUUGGAAAAAAAACCAGCUUGCUUCGAUACAAGACCGGAAAGAGAGAGCACCUUGGCAUCUCUUACUUUUAAAAUAUUAUCGUCGUCAUUUGGUGGUAAAUAGACCAAAGAUAGACGGAAAGAGUGGUCGGAAAAGGAAGAUAUCAUGACCUCGUGUCACCAAAAGAGGUGCUCCAAACAAAGAAGUCAGUUUCACCCAACAAAUCACUAUGAGGUCUUAAUCUGUGAUGCAAAGACUUGAUCCCACAAAAAAAGAAUGAAAAGGAUAUGCAGUGAGUGUGUUGAUUGUUUUGGCCACUGGGCUGUCUUUAUGUGCUGAACAGAGAGUGGACUUCGUACAAGAGAUGGGUGACAAAGAGCUGAUCACCCACAAAGGUGUCAGUUCCACCCAACAAAUCUCUUCCUUAGUCUUAAUCUGUGAUGCAAAGACUUGGUCCCACUGAAAAAGAAGGAAAAGGAUAUGUAGUGAGUGUGUUGAUUGUUUCAAUCAUUAGACUUUCUUUAUGUGCUGAACAGAGAGUGGACUAAAUUGUACAGAAGAUGGGCAUCUAAGAGCUGACCCAAUUUCACCCAAAAUAUCUCUUCCUUAGUCUUAAUCUGUCAUGCAAAGACUUGGUCCCUCAAAAAAAGGAAUAGGGAAAGCAGUGAGUGUGUUGAUUGUUUUGGCCAUUGGACUGUCUCUAUGUGCUCAGAACAGAAAGUGGACUUUGUACAAGAGAUGGGUGCCUAAGAGCUGAUCACCAACAAAGGAGUCAGUUUCACCCAACUAAUCUCUUCCUUAGUCUUAAUCUGUGCUGCAAAGACUAGGUCCCACAAAAAAAAGGAAAAGGAUAUGCAGGGAGAGUGUGAUUGUUUUGGCCACUGGACUGUCUUUAUGUGCUGAACAGAAAGUGGACUUUGUACAAGAGAUGGAUGACAAAGAGCUGAUCACCCACAAAGGUGUCAGUUCAACCCAACAAAUCUCUUCCUUAGUCUUACUCUGUGCUACAAAGACUAGGUCCCACAAAAAAAAGGAAAAGGAUAUGCAGGGAGUGUGUUGAUUGUUUUGGCCAAGGGACUGUCUUAGAGUGCUGAACAGAGAGUGGACUUUGUACAAGAGAUGGGCACCUAAGAGCUGACUCACACACGAGUCAGUUCAACCCAACAAAUCUUUUCUUUAGUCUUACUCUGUUCUACAAAGACUAGGUCCCACAAAAAAAAAAAGGAAAAGGAUAUGCAGGGAGUGUGUUGAUUGUUUUGGCCAAGGGACUGUCUUAGAGUGCUGAACAGAGAGUGGACUUUGUACAAGAGAUGGGCACCUAAGAGCUGACUCACACAUGAGUCAGUUUUACCCAACAAAUCUCUUCCUUAGUCUUUAUCUGUGAUGCAAAGACUUGGUCCUACAAAAAAAA